rnacentral:rRNA from 1 species
CUUUUGAUUGAAUUUGAUAAAAGGUGAUUUCUGCUCGAUGAUUUUUAAUGGCCGCGGUAAUUUGACCGUGCGAAGGUAGCAUAAUCAUUUGUUUCGUAAUUUGGGACUUGUAUGAAUGGAUUUACGAAAAUUUAGCUGUCUUAAAAAAAAAAUUGGAAUUUGUUUUUGUUGUGAAGAAACAAAAAUGUUGCAGAGGGACAAGAAGACCCUUUUGAUCUUUACUUUUUAUGGAUUACUAAUAAUUGUAUAGAAAGUUUGGUUGGGGUGACCAAGGAAGAGGAGAUCUUCCUUAUUUUAAUUAUUUUUGGUCCAGAAUUUUUGAUGAAAAGAAUAAGUUACCAAAGGGAUAACAGCGUAAUUUUUUUUGUGAGUUCUUAUUAAAAAAAAAGAUUGCGACCUCGAUGUUGACUUAUAUUUUUCUUUUGGUGCAGGUGCUGAAGGGAUAGGUCUGUUCGACCUUUAAAAUUUUACGUGA